UGGAAGAGUUCUUUGAAGGAUGCUGUGUUAAGAAAAAUGGAGGACAGAGAGGUGAUAUGGGACAAUCAGCAUAGCUUCACCAACAGCAGUCCUGACUAGUGAACCUAGAGGCCUUCUAUGAUGACAUAAUUGCAUCACAGUGGACAAGGGAAGAGCCAGUUAGUGAAUCUAUCUGGACUUCAGUAAGACCUUUGACAUCGUCCUCCACAACAACCUUCUCUCCAAAUUGGAAUGGCAGAUCCUCCUGGAUGACAUGUUAGAUCACAGGAGGAAUGAGAAUGUGAUCCAAGACAUCCAGCAUGGCUUCAUAAGGGGAAGGACACCUUGGCACCUCCAGCCCACUGGGAUGAUGUCAUUCACGGUCAGUCACACAGCAGAAACCCAAGCAAGAGAACUAUUUUCAACAGGGAGUGGCUGACUAGAGGACUGUGCUGACAUCCAAAGGGCUGUCAGAAACCUCAUGGAGAUCAGCAAGGAGAAAUGCAAAGUCCUGCAACUGAGGAGGAACAACUCCAGAACAUGCUGUGAGCACCCAGCUGGAAAGCAACUCUGAGGGAAAGGACCUAGGGUUAUGGUGGACACAUAGAGCCAACAAUGUGCCCUUGCUGCAAAGUAGAUUAAUAGUGUUCUGGGCUACAGUGGGGGAAGAAUCACUAGCCAGUCAAGAGAGGUGGUCCUUCCCCUCUGUUCUGUGUUGGUGAUGCUGCAUUUGGCGUAUUGUGUCAGAUUAUGGAUCCUCCCAUACAAGAGAGAUAAAGACAUACAGGGAAAAGUCCAAACAAGAUGCUGAAGAGACUGGAGCACCCUUCUAUGAGGAGAAGAGAAAGCUGGGACUGUUCAGCCUAGAGAAUAGGAAGCUUUAGGGAAUCUUAUAAAUAUGUAUGUAAAUAACUGAAGGGAGGGUGCAGAGGAUGGAGCCAGGCUCUGCCAAUGGUGUC